GGGCUACACACGUGCUACAAUGGUUAGGACAAAGAAAAGCGAGAGCGCGAGCUGGAGCAAAAUUCAAAAAACUAACCUUAGUUCGGAUUAUUCUCUGUAAUUCGAGAAUAUGAAGGUGGAAUCGCUAGUAAUCGCAAAUCAGCAUGUUGCGGUGAAUAUGUUUACAGGUUUAGUACACACCGCCCGUCACGCCAUGGAAAUUGAAACUAUUUGAAGCAAGUAAGCU
rnacentral:rRNA from 1 species